UCUCUUGUGACAGCAGGUACACUGAACUCUGUCCCUGUGAUGUGACUUUCCACCAGCCACACCUGCAACUCCUCCUGCAGAAUAUGGUCUUUAGUCUGACAUGAACGGGCAGAUUAUGGUCUCUGGUCCAGCAGUGAACAGCUGAUUCCCACCAGCCAACAGAAAUGGCAUCAGUGCAUGGAGAAUCCUUUGCGUCGUGAAUGGGUUUCAUGAACAUGCUUCACCACAGUUGUACUCGGAGCCCACAUGGGGAGCAGUUCAUCUCUGUCAUCCUGGAGGAAUGCUGAGGAAACCGUGAGCUGCCCCCAGCGUCAGCACUUGUUCUUAUUCCCAUCCACUGGAAAUGUCUGAAAAAUGUCCAGGGGAAAACAUAUUGGCACAGGUAACAGAUGGAUGAACCCACUCCAAAAACAGCACCUUACUCAGUUACUUCAGCUACAGUUCACCGUGGUAAAGCAACAGGUAGCUGAAGUGGAGGUCACUCAAAACCCAUCAUCACCAGAGACAGUGAUCGUUUUAUUCAAAGUCCACCCCUUAUAUAGACAUGAACUUCACUAACAGCUGGAUUUCUUCUGAUAUUGCUGGUAAUUAUGAUUUAUUCUUGCAGUUCCCAUGUACUGUGCACGUUUUCCAUGGGUCAGGGUUAUUUCUGAUGGGUGGUGUGGCUUUCAGGCUGUGAGUGCCAUAUCUUCAAUGGCAGCUGAGUGGCCAGCAUUUUGCUUGGGCCUUGGCAAGAGCUGCUGAUGGUGACUCUGCUGCUUCAGCAAUGUCUGGUUUUCCCUGAUGUGGUUUCCCUGUACUUGGGCAAUACUGUCACUGGUGACCUUUGCCUCUGUACUGCCCAGCAAUGGCAUCCGGCCUCAAACCCACGUGGGAAACAGACAGUCUGCUCUGGGCUGUGGGGCACCCACCGCAAGCUUGUACUUGGACCUCCUCCAGUUUUUAGCCAGUUCACUAACGAUCGUGUUUGGAAGAGCUUUACUCUACACAGACGGCAGGAAUGGAAAUUACAUACAGUGUGCCUAUUGCCCCUUGGGCUUUCACUGGAUACUGCUGAGGAGAGUCUGACUUUGUCACCUUCGCUUCCAUAUCAGCCCAGGACCUGCCAAAAAUGUGGCCUGCGGAGUUUCUGUAGCGAAGCCUGCGCUCACCCGCAUCUGCUGAAGAGACUGAUGGAAAUUGCCUGUUUCAUCCUCUGUCACCCUGUCUUUGUGUCAGCUGCUGUAGAUCCAGCCCUGCGUCAAAGAGCAGAGAGUGAUUCCAGCAAAAUUAAGUGAAGCCGUUAGACCCCGAGCCGAUUUCUUGCUGAAGACGGUGACUUCUAGAGCAGGCAAAGUCUGGUGCUGUGAGCUCAGGGCGAGCUGCCGCUGCCUGCAGCGAGAGAAGGGACUGGGCUCAGAAUGGUGACAGCACAUGUAGAGCAUCAGGCGGGCGCAGCGGUCUGGGGUCUUUCCCAGCGUCUCGUGGGGUUGCCUGGCAGAAGGUUGACAGCUUGAGCUCAGCUGGGAAGGGAAAUGCCAGCGUGUGCCUCUGGAUCUGGGGAUCUGCCUCAAGGUGCUCCAGAGACCCCAAAGGUGCUCGUUGCUUGUUUCCAUGAGAUGACGAUUAGCAUCUGCCUUUGGACUUCGAGCAGCUGCGAACACUGCGCUGUGUCCCUGGCUGGAGGGUGUUUGUGGGAGACGUAAUUUGUCAUGUUAGGCUGGGUUUGCGGUCCGAAGAGGUGCCUCUUCAGCCCCUGUGUUAUCACAGGGCUGUGAAAAUAGCAUAGAGUCAGGAGGGAGGAUUUAUCUUCUCUUUUAAAAUGUGGGAAAGGCCUUUAAUGUUUGGUUUUCAUGCAUAUUCUCUUCUCCUCCUGGUGAAGAAUUAGGCUCCCAGUUCAGUUGGGAUGGACUGGCUGUGGGAAUGAUGAAGGGAAUAAAAAAGUUAACCAAAUCUCAAGGAGUAUCUCUAUUCCCAAAGCCAAAGUGCCUAUGAUUUCCUUUGCUUUCUCCUGAAACUCCCAGGCUACCUGGUCCCAGGCUCACUGGGGAUCAGCUCCUCGAAUGAGUUUGUUUUCCAACAGCAUUUAGAGCAUUUCAUUGAUUUGAUAUUCUGAUAAAAUCCACCCAGAUCUGAAAUUCCAAGUGGAGGAAAAUAACUCCAGCCACUACAACUGAAAGAAUGUGAAACCUUCAACCCGGCAAGUGGGCGUCCCUCCCAUCCCCCUUGUCCUCCCCACAGCCUCCAGCCCUGGGGUGACAUGUGGUUCACACACACACAGCCUGUUCUGUUGGGAAGCGUACAGCUUGCCUUUGAGAGUGACCAUCCAUUAUGGUUCAGUGCAGCUGUUCACGUGCAGACAGCUUUAAACUCUUCCAGAAAUCGCUGACACACAUCUGUGAAUGUCUCUCCCUCUGCCCCUUGCUCGAUCCCUCAGGGCCGGAGCAAAUGCUGCCACCCUCUGCACCCUUGGGAGCCACAAGGAGCGACCUGGUGGCUCUGGGCACAUCCCACCCACUGCUGUUGGCCACUUUACCUUCUGCCAGUUUGUAAAUGUAACAUCACAUGUGCACAUCUCCAUACCCUGCUUGCUGAACAAGGCAGAGAUCGGCUCCUUGCUAUGAACCUCUUGUGCAUGUACUGAUGUUUAACUUCCAAAUAACAGCUUCCCCCAGCUCUGAUUUUGUGUUAGACCCUGUAUCAGCUAUUGCAUGAGGUGCUGAGAUGCCAUCAUCUUUUAUUUUGCACCGCAAGAUCCCAGCUCAGGGUCUGUCUUCCUCCAUAUGUCCCGUGCAAAGCACUCCAUGCCACAAGGACACACAGACAGAUCUGCAUGAUUGCUCCCGCGUCCUUCCUUACCCACCUUUCUUUCACCACUGCAUUAAGUUACAAAUCUUCCCAAGCCUGUUUCAAUGGGGCCUUGGUACCAGAUGGUACAAACAUUCAGAGAGCACGUUAGCAUUUGUGUUCUCCAGGAAUAACCUCAUGUCCAUGUAGUUGUUCCUCUACCCCCUAACUGCAUGAGGAAGGAGGAGACCCGUAUGCUCAGCUGACUGAAUGAUGUUUCCCUUCCCACACAGUAAUUUUGUCAAAACCAAGUUAUUUGCGUAGCAGUGAGUUCCCCUUGUCACCCUUGUCCUGCCUGGGUGACAGGACAUGUUCCCAUGGGAGAACAGGGCUGCAGCAGACCUGGCCAGCACAAGAUUGCUUUAAAUGCCUGGGCAUCCUUCCCUCUGCCCCCAGGGCUGUAUGGGAUGCUUGUGAAUUCAGACUUAAGGCUCUUGGAGGGCUCUAAAAUCAGAAAUUACCCUGCCAUAUCUCCCACUCAGUCAGUGACCUGUGUUGACACACAAAUAGCUAAGAGGCCAUUUGGGUUUCUGUGGCUUUUGGGAGUACCCCAAGCAUCUUUCUCCCUAUGGUGAAGGAUUUGGGUGGCUCUGAUCUAUGUGCACAGCCCAUAGGAGGACCCUGAGGCUGUGCUUGGUUCUGCAUCAGGCAGCCCAAGGCCAACUGUGGUCUCUGCAGAGAGCUGAGCCUCCUCUGCUGGCUGGUACGGUGGCAUUGGCGUGAGAGGGUGGCAAGGGCACAGUCACUGCAGCUUGUGGAGAGUGGUCAAGGUCCCAGAGCGGGAAAAGAAUGGGCAUCGGAUAGUCAAGAACUAUACUUUAAAAUGUAAAGCAAUCCAGCCGCUUCCAGCCAGCGGCUUUUCCCCAGCUGUUGGUUUCCAAUAGAGUAUUAUGAUCAGUAAUUGAUACUCUCAGAUGUCUCUGCACAAUCCCCAGAGAAGAAUGGCCAGGGCAAUAUUUUUUUUUUCCCAACUCACUGGAAAAUUGAGCCCCAGCUGGGGCUAAUAAGUGCUUUCAUUAAAAUACUGAUCUUAAUCCAAAGCUGAGAAUAAUGUCUCCUCUGUGUUGCAGCUCUCCUCAGCUCUGACAUGGGCUGUGCUUUUUAACAAGAAGUGAAAGGAGAAUAAAUAGACACUUCUCACCCCAACAUCAUAAUAGCACCAAUGUUAGGUCCCAAUGAGGUCAAUGUUCUUUUGAUUGCACCAGUGGAAUGUGUUCUUGCUAUUUCCAUGGCAUGAGCUCCUUCCAGUGAUGGAGAUGGGGUGUAUGGCCAGUGUACCCCUCCAAACUCCUCUUGAAUCCAUGGUACUCCACUGCCCAUGGGUGGUCUCAUCAGGAAGAAGAUGGGAAGCAGGAGUGCUUGUCCAGGUGCUGUGUGCAUGCCAAGGCGUCUGUGUUGGACAGGCAGGGCAGAGGCAAAAGAGUUCCAUGAUUCCAACAUAAGGGUUCAUUUUGUUCUCCAUUUUCUUCUG